GAUGAACGCUGGCGGCGUGCCUAAUACAUGCAAGUCGAGCGAACAGACGAGGAGCUUGCUCCUCUGACGUUAGCGGCGGACGGGUGAGUAACACGUGGAUAACCUACCUAUCAGACUGGGAUAACUUCGGGAAACCGGAGCUAAUACCGGAUAAUAUAUUGAACCGCAUUGUUCAAUAGUGAAAGACGGUUUUGCUGUCACUUAUAGAUGGAUCCGCGCCGCAUUAGCUAGUUGGUAAGGUAACGGCUUAACAAGGCAACGAUGCGUAGCCGACCUGAGAGGGUGGUCGGCCACACUGGAACUGAGACACGGUCCAGACUCCUACGGGAGGCAGCAGUAGGGAAUCUUCCGCAAUGGGCGAAAGCCUGACGGAGCAACGCGGCGUGAGUGAUGAAGGUCUUCGGAUCGUAAAACUCUGUUAUUAGGGAAGAACAAAUGUGUAAGUAACUAUGCACGUCUUGACGGUACCUAAUGAGAAAGCCACGGCUAACUACGUG
rnacentral:rRNA from 1 species